rnacentral:rRNA from 1 species
GGUGAGGUAAUGGCUCACCAAGGCGACGACGGGUAGCCGGCCUGAGAGGGCGACCGGCCACACUGGGACUGAGACACGGCCCAGACUCAUACGGGAGGCAGCAGUGGGGAAUAUUGCACAAUGGGCGAAAGCCUGAUGCAGCGACGCCGCGUGAGGGAUGACGGCCUUCGGGUUGUAAACCUCUUUCAGCAGGGAAGAAGCGAGAGUGACGGUACCUGCAGAAGAAGCGCCGGCUAACUACGUGCCAGCAGCCGCGGUAAUACGUAGGGCGCAAGCGUUGUCCGGAAUUAUUGGGCGUAAAGAGCUCGUAGGCGGCUUGUCACGUCGAUUGUGAAAGCCCGAGGCUUAACCUCGGGUCUGCAGUCGAUACGGGCUAGCUAGAGUGUGGUAGGGGAGAUCGGAAUUCCUGGUGUAGCGGUGAAAUGCGCAGAUAUCAGGAGGAACACCGGUGGCGAAGGCGGAUCUCUGGGCCAUUACUGACGCUGAGGAGCGAAAGCGUGGGGAGCGAACAGGAUUAGAUACCCUGGUAGUCCACGCCGUAAACGGUGGGAACUAGGUGUUGGCGACAUUCCACGUCGUCGGUGCCGCAGCUAACGCAUUAAGUUCCCCGCCUGGGGAGUACGGCCGCAAGGCUAAAACUCAAAGGAAUUGACGGGGGCCCGCACAAGCGGCGGAGCAUGUGGCUUAAUUCGACGCAACGCGAAGAACCUUACCAAGGCUUGACAUACACCGGAAAGCAUUAGAGAUAGUGCCCCCCUUGUGGUCGGUGUACAGGUGGUGCAUGGCUKUCGUCAGCUCGUGUCGUGAGAUGUUGGGUUAAGUCCCGCAACGAGCGCAACCCUUGUCCCGUGUUGCCAGCAGGCCCUUGUGGUGCUGGGGACUCACGGGAGAMCGCCGGGGUCAACUCGGAGGAAGGUGGGGACRAMGUCAAGUCAUCAUGCCCCUUAUKUSKGUGGGCUGCACACGUCGSWAMAAUGGCCGGUACAAAGAGCUGCGAUACCGUAAGGUGGAGCGAAUCUCAAAAAGCCGGUCUCAGUUCGGAUUUAG